rnacentral:rRNA from 1 species
CAGUAGCCGCGGGAAAACGAAGGGGGCUAGCGUUGCUCGGAAUUACUGGGCGUAAAGGGAGCGUAGGCGGACAUUUAAGUCAGGGGUGAAAUCCCAGAGCUCAACUCUGGAACUGCCUUUGAUACUGGGUGUCUUGAGUGUGAUAGAGGUAUGUGGAACUCCGAGUGUAGAGGUGAAAUUCGUAGAUAUUCGGAAGAACACCAGUGGCGAAGGCGACAUACUGGAUCAUUACUGACGCUGAGGCUCGAAAGCGUGGGGAGCAAACAGGAUUAGAUACCCCUGUAGUCCCUGUCUCUUAUAC